ensembl:lncRNA
GUUUCACCCAAUUGUCACAAAGCAAGAAACACAAGCCCAGUGUGCGGCAGACAAGGCUCUGGACAAAGGGCUGUUUUCAUCGCCCCUCUCCCCAGCUCAGAGACCCCCACAUGACAUCUGCAAAGGAGUAGGUGUAGUGGACGGGCCGGCCUCCCUCACCUCCCGACACUGAGGCGGGCUCCUUCACCCUGCCCUGCAGGCGGCUCUGGGCACUGAAACCUGCAACCACACCCGUGCCCCUGCCAGCUGUGGCAGCCCUGCAGGCCCUGCCUCCCAACACUGCUGCACUGAGGAAUCGAGUCUCAGAGAACACUCUCAAAUCAUAGAUAAUUCCAAGAACUAAGGAUUUCUGAAUGUGGACUGAGCUGCGGGAUGGAACUCUGGACCUUGUGCUUGCAAAGCAGGCGGCAGAACCACUGAGCUAAAUGCCUGGCCCUCUAACUGCAUUUUGAUAAACACCGAUUGUCAUGCCGAAGUGACCUUGUCACAGAAGGGCCUUUCUCUGAGCACAUCCCACCUGGAGUCGUCUGGCCUUGUGUUUUCACUGUGUUCAGCUUUGCUUAUGCUGGACUGAGGCCAGAGGCCGGUCCUGGAGUCUCACCCCCAAGGUUACAUGGGUGUGUUGCAGCAAAGCCUGGGCACCUCCUGCCUGGGCCCCUCUUCCUUCCUUAGGGAGCCUCCCCAAGGGCAGUGGUGCAGAAAAUUCUCCCCUUCCCUGAUAACAGCCCCAGAAGCAAUGGCACUGAGGUGCCCACUCGUGGGGUGUGAGCUUUUCCCAGGCCUCUCUUACACCGAGGAGGGAGCACGGGGAGGCUUAGGCAAGAGAGCCUUUGGGGUUUCACCAUCUGCAGGAGUGAACUCAGCCCCUCCAGGACCGAAUCUGUGAUGAAGCAGGC